GGUUUUUUCUUGCAGUGGUGUUUACAGCUAACUGAUCACAGCCAGUUACAGAUGUCUUUGUUCCUUCUCCACUACUCUGCUUCACUUGACCAGCCUUAA
rnacentral:sRNA from 1 species